GGGGCUAGCGGAUGGAAGUGCUAGUCUAAGGUCGUAGGAGGUUAUACAGGCAAAUCCGUAUAACAAUACUCCGAGAACUGAAAGGCUUUUUGAAGUCUUCGGAUGGAUAGAAGAACCCCUGAUGCCAUCGAGCCAAGAAAAGUUUCUAAGUUUAGCUAAUGUUGCCCGUACCGUAAACCGACACAGGUGGGUGGGAUGAGUAUUCUAAGGCGCGUGGAAGAACUCUCUUUAAGGAACUCUGCAAAAUAGCACCGUAUCUUCGGUAUAAGGUGUGGUUCGCUUCGUAUUAGGAUUUACUCCGAAAGCGAAGAAACUUACAACAAAGAGUCCCUCCCGACUGUUUACCAAAAACACAGCACUCUGCUAACUCGUAAGAGGAUGUAUAGGGUGUGACGCCUGCCCGGUGCUCGAAGGUUAAUUGAUGGGGUUAGCAUUAGCGAAGCUCUUGAUCGAAGCCCGAGUAAACGGCGGCCGUAACUAUAACGGUCCUAAGGUAGCGAAAUUCCUUGUCGGUUAAAUACCGACCUGCAUGAAUGGCGUAACGAGAUGGGAGCUGUCUCAAAGAGGGAUCCAGUGAAAUUGUAGUGGAGGUGAAAAUUCCUCCUACCCGCGGCAAGACGGAAAGACCCCGUGGACCUUUACUACAGCUUGACACUGCUAUUUGGAUAAGAAUGUGCAGGAUAGGUGGGAGGCUUUGAGUAUAUGACGCCAGUUGUAUAUGAGCCAUUGUUGAGAUACCACUCUUUCUUAUUUGGGUAGCUAACCAGCUUGAGUUAUCCUCAAGUGGGACAAUGUCUGGUGGGUAGUUUGACUGGGGCGGUCGCCUCCCAAAUAAUAACGGAGGCUUACAAAGGUUGGCUCAGAACGGUUGGAAAUCGUUCGUAGAGUAUAAAGGUAUAAGCCAGCUUAACUGCAAGACAUACAAGUCAAGCAGAGACGAAAGUCGGUCUUAGUGAUCCGGUGGUUCUGUGUGGAAGGGCCAUCGCUCAAAGGAUAAAAGGUACCCCGGGGAUAACAGGCUGAUCUCCCCCAAGAGCUCACAUCGACGGGGAGGUUUGGCACCUCGAUGUCGGCUCAUCGCAUCCUGGGGCUGGAGCAGGUCCCAAGGGUAUGGCUGUUCGCCAUUUAAAGCGGUACGCGAGCUGGGUUCAGAACGUCGUGAGACAGUUCGGUCCCUAUCUGCCGUGGGCGUAAGAAGAUUGAAGAGAUUUGACCCUAGUACGAGAGGACCGGGUUGAACAAACCACUGGUGUAGCUGUUGUUCUGCCAAGAGCAUCGCAGCGUAGCUAAGUUUGGAAAGGAUAAACGCUGAAAGCAUCUAAGCGUGAAGCCAACUCUAAGAUGAAUCUUCUCUAAGCUCUCUAGAAGACUACUAGUUUGAUAGGCUGGGUGUGUAAUGGAUGAAAGUCCUUUAGCUGACCAGUACUAAUAGAGCGUUUGGCUUAUCUUU
rnacentral:rRNA from 1 species